rnacentral:rRNA from 1 species
ACGGGUGAGUAACGCGUAUCCAACCUGCCCACCACUUGGGGAUAACCUUGCGAAAGUAAGACUAAUACCCAAUGAUAUCUCUAGAAGACAUCUGAAAGAGAUUAAAGAUUUAUCGGUGAUGGAUGGGGAUGCGUCUGAUUAGCUUGUUGGCGGGGUAACGGCCCACCAAGGCAACGAUCAGUAGGGGUUCUGAGAGGAAGGUCCCCCACAUUGGAACUGAGACACGGUCCAAACUCCUACGGGAGGCAGCAGUGAGGAAUAUUGGUCAAUGGACGAGAGUCUGAACCAGCCAAGUAGCGUGCAGGAAGACGGCCCUAUGGGUUGUAAACUGCUUUU